rnacentral:rRNA from 1 species
GGGGAAUUUUGGACAAUGGGGGGAACCCUGAUCCAGCCAUCCCGCGUGUGCGAUGAAGGCCUUCGGGUUGUAAAGCACUUUUGGCAGGGAAGAAACGGCGUCGGAUAAUACCUGACGUCACUGACGGUACCUGCAGAAUAAGCACCGGCUAACUACGUGCCAGCAGCCGCGGUAAUACGUAGGGUGCAAGCGUUAAUCGGAAUUACUGGGCGUAAAGCGUGCGCAGGCGGUUUGGAAAGAGGGAUGUGAAAUCCCAGGGCUUAACCUUGGAACUGCAUUCUUAACUGCCAGGCUAGAGUAUGUCAGAGGGGGGUAGAAUUCCACGUGUAGCAGUGAAAUGCGUAGAUAUGUGGAGGAAUACCGAUGGCGAAGGCAGCCCCCUGGGAUAAUACUGACGCUCAUGCACGAAAGCGUGGGGAGCAAAC